GUGUCAGCCGCCGCGGUAAGACGGAAGGUGCAAGCGUUGCUCGGAAUCACUGGGCGUAAAGGGUGCGUAGGCGGCCUGGUAAGUCUGGCGUGAAAGCCCAGGGCUCAGCCCUGGAAGUGCGCUAGAAACUGCGAGGCUCGAGUGCCGGAGGGGAGAGUGGAAUUCCUGGUGUAGCGGUGAAAUGCGUAGAUAUCAGGAGGAAUACCGGUGGCGAAAGCGACUCUCUGGACGGCAACUGACGCUGAGGCACGAAAGCGUGGGGAGCAAACAGGAUUAGAUACCCCUGUAGUCC
rnacentral:rRNA from 1 species